rnacentral:rRNA from 1 species
CCAUGCAGUCGAACGUGAAGGGAGCAAUCCUGAGUAAAGUGGCGUACGGGUGAGUAACGCGUAGGUAAUCUACCCCAGAGUCUGGAAUAACCUGCCGAAAGGCGGGCUAAUACUGGAUAGAGCGACGAAAUCCGUAAUUGGGUUUUUCGGGAAAGGGAGGAAGCAAUUCCCUUUGCUCUGGGAUGAGCCUGCGUCUCAUUAGCUAGUUGGUGGGGUAACGGCUCACCAAGGCUAUGAUGGGUAGCUGGUCUGAGAGGAUGAUCAGCCACACUGGGACUGAAACACGGUCCAGACUCCUACGGGAGGCAGCAGUGGGGAAUCUUGCGCAAUGGACGAAAGUCUGACGCAGCCACGCCGCGUGAGUGAAGAAGGCCUUCGGGUUGUAAAGCUCUGUCGAGCGGGACGAAAAGUUUUCAGGUGAAUAGCCUGAAGAUGUGACGGUACCGCUAAAGGAAGCACCGGCUAACUCCGUGCCAGCAGCCGCGGUAAUACGGAGGGUGCAAGCGUUGCUCGGAAUUAUUGGGCGUAAAGGGUAGGUAGGUGGUCUCAUUUGUCUGGGGUGAAAGCCUUGAGCUUAACUCAAGAAGUGCCCCGGAAACGGUGAGACUAGAGUCCUGGAGAGGGUCGUGUAAUUCCCGGUGUAGCGGUGAAAUGCGUAGAGAUCGGGAGGAACACCAGAGGCGAAAGCGGCGACCUGGACGGCACUGACACUCAACUACGAAAGCGUGGGAGCAACAGGAUUAGAUACCCUGGUAGUCCACGCUGUAACGAUGGGUACUAGGGUUUGGUGGGG